rnacentral:rRNA from 1 species
UACGGAGGAUCCAAGCGUUAUCCGGAUUUAUUGGGUUUAAAGGGUGCGUAGGCGGCCUAUUAAGUCAGGGGUGAAAGACGGUAGCUUAACUAUCGCAGUGCCUUUGAUACUAUUUGUCUUGAAUACUGUGGAGGUAAGCGGAAUAUGUCAUGUAGCGGUGAAAUGCUUAGAUAUGACAUAGAACACCAAUUGCGAAGGCAGCUUACUACACAACGAUUGACGCUGAGGCACGAAAGCGUGGGGAUCAAACAGG